AAAAUUCAUCCAUCAGCUUCAUGGUGAUUUCUUGUGUGCUGGACACUGCCCUGUCUGUCCCUGCAGUCUCCUGGGCCCCAGGGUAAGCCUGCAAAGCCAGGUGGGAGGUCCCUGGUGGCUGCCUCUCGGGAUGAUGGGUUCACGUCGAGGAUCUGACUGUCUCUGACUGCCACACUGGCAGAUUUUCUUUCCAACACAGAGGCCCAGGUCCUCCUGUUGUCCAAGCGGGAGCCACCUUGUUUUAGGGGUCUACUUUCACGCAGUGCCACCUUCUUCAUUCCAGCCCUCUGCUCUCGCUCUCGCCCUCUUGUGAACAUCACCAGGUCAAAACAGGUUCUUUUAUUUAUUUAUUUACCUGACAGGCAGUGAGAGAGACAGAGAGAAAGGUCUUCCUUUUCCGUUGGUUCACCCUCCAAUGGCAGCUGCGGCCAGCGCACCGCGCUGAUCUGAAGCCAGGAGCCAGGUGCUUCUCCUGGAGUGCCAUCCUCCACUGCACUCCCGGGCCACAGCAGAGAGCUGGACUGGAAGAGGGGCAACCAGGGCAGAAUCUGGCGCCCCGAUCGGGACUAGAACCCGGUGUGCUGGCGCUGCAGGCGGAGGAUUAGCCUUGUGAACCACGGCACCAGCACAAAACACUGUUCUGUACCUGGUGUCCGCCAGCCUCUGGCUCAGUUGGGAACUGUGUCUUUUUUUUUUUAUUUAAAAGAGUUGCAGAGACAGAAAGGGGGGAGGGAGGGAGGGAGGAAGAGAGAGAGAGAGUAAGAGAGAGAGAGAGGGAGAGAUAGCUUCCAUCCUCUGCUUCACUCCCAAAAUGGCUGCAAUGGCCCUGGUCUGGGCCAGUCAGAAGCCAGGAGCUUCUGGGUCUCCCACGUGGGUGGCAGGGGCCCCAAUAUUUGGGAUAUCUUCCUCUGUUUUUCUCAGGCCAUUAGCAGCAUGCUGGAUGGGAAGUGGAGCAGGUGGGACUCGAACCUGCCACGCCACAGUGCUGGAUGGAAAACUGGCUCUUAAAACAAGAUCUGGGUGACGCCACUGCCUAGGGCUCCGUGUCCUUGGGCUUUGGAAGGCAGCACGUCCUCAGUGAUGCUGACAGCAAGAUCCUGCACAUCACUCUACUUGAAGGGACCGCACCUGUGAGCACCAGACUCUGGUGGCCACAAGGCGCAGGCGCAAGGGGCUCAGCUCUGCAUUUCUGUACUUGGCCACAAGGGGCAGCAGAGCAGACCAGCGAUGGUCCACAUUUGCAUAGGCGCAACCUUUGCUUUCUGAUUGGUUGGUACUGUUUCGUUCCAUCCAAUCUGACUCCCUCUCUGGAGCCCUCAUUUGAAUAGUGAGUCUAUAAAUAGGCUACUUAGCGUUGCAACCGCCGUUUGGGCGACGGUUCGGGUGCUGUUUUCAGUUACAGCCCGAGGGCCGUCGGAGCCCCAGCCCCGACCCCGGACAGGGCGGCGAGCGAGGGGCAGCGGCGGACGCCGGCGGGAAGGGCGGGCCCGCAGCGCAGCCGUGAGCCAGGGUGUCUGUCACUGAUGGAAGAUUGAGUAGUGAAACCAGUUUAAAGGACAAAACCAGCGUGGAAAUACAAGACCCUGGGAGGCAGUGGUGAUGGCUCAAUUGGUUGAGUUUCUGCUGCCUACUUGGAGACGUGGACUGGUUUCUGGUUCCCAGCUUCAGCCUGGGCCUGGCCUAGCCUCGCCCGAGCCAUUGCAGGUAUUUGGGAAAUGAACUAGUGGAUGGGAGCUGUCUGUGUCUUAAAAAAGAAAGACGUAUAGAAGUGACCACACUGAUAGGGAAGCCCUUUUUUGUGUAGGAAACACUAAUCCUGUGUUCUCCAUAAUUCAAGGUGCUUGCCUUUCAUCUUUAGAAAUUUUAAACAAGCCAUGACUUAAUUCAUUUAGUUGAUGGAAAAAGAACCCACGUCAAAGCCAUACUCUUGUCACGUUCUUCCACUGGUGUUCUCAUUUCACAUCACACAUCUUCACAUCACAUCACAUCACAUCACACCACAUCAUCACGUCACAUCACGUCACAUUGCAUCACAUCACAUCACAGUCUUUGUUACGUUGCUUGUCAUCACCUGUUGGCCUGUCAGUCUCCUGGCCUGUAGCUCCUUGAGGGCAGGGAUAUUGUUAUUGUCUUUGUUAUGCCUGUGUGUGGCAUAGUGCCUGAAAUUUGCUGCAUGGUUAAUAAAUAUUUGUUGAGUAAAGAAAUCACAUUUUGUUUCCAUACCAAUACAAUGAAUAAAUUCAUGUUGUGGGAAAUUUCAUUCCUAAAUGUUGUAAUAGAUUUUUAAAUUUUUUAAAGCAAGCAAACAAAAACAAAAACAGGUAAAAAAACUGCCUUUAGUUUAACUCUACUCAAAAACAUACUGUACUGUUACAGACUGUGAAAAUAAUAAUUCUUACAGAUGAUAUUGAUUGGGCUGCCAAGCAUCUGUGUUCAGCAUUCAACACUGGAUGUUCCCAAUAACCUCUGUGAUAGGUAUUGUACCCCAGUAGCCUAUGUGAUAUAUAUUGUGCUGGGUCACAGAGGCUGUGUAACUUGUUGUAGGUCACUGCACUUGUAAGAAGCAAAGCUGGAGCUUGAGCUCAGUCCUGCCCCAGACUGUGUCUAAUAUGUGUGCAGAAAAGGGUCCAAAUAUUUGUCACUUUAAUCUGAAGCUUGAGAUGACUAAAUAUAGAAGUACUUUGAAAAUUUCAUCAACCUUCUCAGGAUAGCGCUCAUGAAAAUUAGUUUCUCUUUUUAUUCCUUUUCCCUAAUCUUAUCCCACGAUUAGAUAUUUAGCUCAGAGUCAUUGAGACUAGAGAUUUAAAAGCAUGUUGUAGGUGACAUCAGUGGAAACCUAUGUAAACAGUGGAGUGAGAACAUUUGAAAAUUUAUCCCUUCAUAAAGGGAACAACAAAAUGGUAAAAGUGGUCAGAAUCAAGUUUUUGAUAAUUCUGGAAAUUUAACCAAAGGCUUGCAGCCACCUGUGGGGCAUUUACUCAAGAAAAUUGGCUGACUUUCUGUAAGAAUAGUGAGAUUUGUGUGGGUUUUGUGUAUUUAACUUGCCCUAGACAGUUCCUCCCUGGCAAGCUCAGUGUUAGCCUUAAAAAUAGCCUUGGCAGCUUAUGACAAGAGCCUCGGGUGAUGACUGACAUAAAUAAGAGUGUCAAUUGUUAAAUCAACAACGGGAGUCACUGUGCACUUACUCCCCAUGUAGGAUCUCUGUCCUUAAUGUGUGCUACUAUGUGAAUUAAUGGUAUAACUAGUACUCAAACAGUACUUUAUACUUUGUGUUUCUGUGUGGGUGCGAACUGCUGAAAUCUUUACUUAGUAUAUACUAAGUUGAUCUUCUGUAUAUAAAGAUAAUUGAGAAUGAAUCUUGAUGAAGAAUGGGAUGAGAAAGGGAAUGGGAGAUGGGAUGAUUGCAGGUGGGAGGGAGGUUAUUGGGGGGGAAAGCCACUACAAUCCAGGAGUUGUACAUUGGAAAUGUAUAUUUAUUAAAUAAAAGUUAAAAAAAAGAAACAUCUGCUUUAGGAAUAGACUGAUGUCUUAGCAAUAUUUGGGUUUAGGUUUUUGGAUUGUGGAUUAAUUUUAUUUUUAAUUUGUUGCUUCUCAAAUUUUUUUUAAAUUAUGAGAUGUAUUACUUGCAUACUCAAAGUCAUAUGUAACCACAUGACUAUUGGAUAAUGUUUGAACUUUGUCUAAGUUAUUUUGUCUACAUUUGAAUCAAAUCAGGAAUUAUAAUGAGAAAAGAGAAGUAUGUGUAAAAUGAGCAACAACAACAACAAAAAACUCAAACUCUCAAAAAAAAAAUAGCCUGUAUGCCCAGUAUCAGAGAGAGUGAGGGAGAGAGAGGGAGAGGGAUAGAGGGACAGAGGGAGAGAGGGAGACAAGGAGGGAGGGAGGGAGGGAGGGAGAGGGAGAGGGAGAGGGAGAGAGAGAGAGAGAGAGAGAGAGAAUGAAUGGAGAUGAGCAUGCAGAAUGAAGCUGAGCUCCUCCAAAGUGCAUCCCAGUGAGCUAUCAGAAUCUUGGGCCAUCUUCCACUGCUUUCCCAGGCCAUAGCAGAGAGCUGGAUUGGAAGUGGAGCAUCCAGGUCUCAAACCGGCACCCAUAUGGCAUGCUGGCACUUCAGGCCAGGGCAUUAACCUGCUGUGCCACAGCACCAGCCGUGUCGCUGACUUUCAAAUAAAUGAAUAAAUCUUAAAGAAAAAAGUAAAAGAACAAAAAAACCCUAAAGCCAAUGAAGAGAAUACUUUAAGAGAAGCAUACGGUGCAGAGGAAGAAUUACCUUAAGAGAAAAGAAGACCUCUUGCUACACAGAUGAGAAUAUGGUGCAGAUGAAAAGAUUAUGAGAAGAAAAGUGUAAUAGUUGCAGGAAGUGACAAUGUGAAAACUUGUGAACCCUUACAAAACACCCCAAAGGGCAGACCUGAGUUGUUCUCUUCAUCUGUAAGGUUUAUGCCUCUCUCUGAGUUUGGGGAGAUGCUGUUUGGAUUCCAGGACACACCACAGAGGGAGGACUGUGCCAGCAGUGUGCAAAUGCAGGUGUAUCCACAGCUUGCCUGAAGGAGGCGAUGCCCAUGGCUGACCUUCAGUGUACGACCACACCCAGCUCACCUACAGUGUCAGCAGUGGGGUGAAUAUCCGAGGAGGGAGAAAGCCUGGACUCUCCUCCUAGUCACCCACAGUGCUUGUGAGUAACAGACGAGUGAGCAUGUGGGUGUGCUCUGUCUGGGUAAGGGAGCCCCUCUCUACACUCUAGAGUCCUUCCACUACUAAACUAUGAAACUUGUAUUGUGAGGACCAAUGAAGUGACUAAAACAAUUUUUAGAAAGAAGCCAAUGAGUUAAGAUUUAAUGCACAUGAAUGAAGCAGAAGAAAUAAAGUAUACUUAAUGUUUAGAAUUAUCAAUUACUGCUGAUUUUCCAUAAUAUAUUUCAUUUCUGAUUUCACUGAAAGAUUUGAUGAGUAUUAAUAUUCGAAGAGAGUUAUGUCACUGGUAAGCUCUUGGCAUGUCUUUGAGGUGGAUUUCAGAUUCACAAUAGACUGAUCCUACCACACUGCUGUUAUACACAGAGGCUUCAUUCAGAAGAAUGUUUACUGGGCUGCAUGUAGUACGUGCAAAGUAACGGUGAAUGCAGAUUUUGCUGAGCGUGAGCUUAACCUAAUUUGGGGAAUCCCUUAUAAUGAAACAUGCAGAAUUAUGAAUAUAAAAAUUGCUCCAGCCCCUCCCAGGACCUUGGAAGGGGCACGUGCAAGCGUAAAGCCUUGAAGCUUAGACUCCAGUUCAUGAUGAAUCCAGCUCAGCUGGAACUCUUUUCUGGACUGUGUAAUGCAGUGAACAGCAUUGUUUUCACUUUAAAAACCCUCAUCUUUGGUCAUAAGAUCACUGGUGUCUUCCUGGGGCAACGGUGAUACCAAAAGUUUCCUUGAAGCAGAUUUGCUUUGUCUAAUAAAAGAAUAUGUCCCCAAAUAAAGGAGACCAGCUCCCAACACACACUUGGUGUAUUACAGCCAUUGUGCCAAUUUUUGAAGCAACCACGAGUUAGAUAUGUUCAGAUCGCAUGAUAAGAGAAUUAGUUUCCAAUACCAGCUAGCUCUGGUUUUUGCAUCACCAUGAAGCAAAUGCUUUUUUUCUUUGGCUUAAGAUGGACACAGAAUCUUGAGAUAAAUGAACUGGUGCCUCGUGCACUGUGCGCCAUCCCUAGCUCUGCUCCUACUUUUUCAGCUCCUCUCUCUGGCCUUGCUGCACAGAUGCUAGCAUGGCUGUCACUCAUUUUCCCAUCAAUGUCCAACUUCCCCCUGCUGGCAUGAAAGUCUCUGGAGACAAAGCUUCUGUCCUGUUCCAGUUUGUACCCCCAGCACUUAAUACAGCACCUGGCACUCGGUGGGCCUGGCACUCAGUGAAUGUUCUUAAAUGAAUUCAUUACUUUUCAUCAGCUGUGAUUCCACAGAUUUUCUCCCUGUGUUGUCUACAGAAAACUGUACUGGAACUCAGUCCCUUAGGAGGGAAUCUAAUGGAAUGAUAUAUGUUGAGGCCAUUUUUACUGAUGCUACCAAAACCACUUGGUGUUGGGGCUCCAGGAACCAGCUCCCCAGUGUAUGGAUAUAGGAAAAACAGACUCUCAGUGUUCUUCCCCAAGAUCUGCAGGCACUGUUGGUCCAUCCUCCACACAUCCUAAAACCUUCCCUCAUAACCAGAAUGGUUAUGACUGGGAUUCUGAACUACAGAACAGGUGGAUAGUCUUUCAACAUCAGGUUUAGUGGAGAAUCUGUAUCUUGAAUCUAAAAUUCCCUUGGGCCAUUGAACAUCACAGAAUUGUUGAGUUGAAAGUGAAUAAAACUCACUUUCUGUUGCAGUUUAGUCAGGACAAAAUAUGUGGGAUUAGGCUAGAGCAGUGUAUUUUCUUAUUUUUUUAACACUACAGUUUAACAUAUAUGCCACUUCUUCCUAUUUCAAAAGUUAUUAGUAUCCACAGAUAAUUUAUAAAUUGAGAGCUAAAUACAUUUUGGAAAAAGCUUAUGAUCUGGGUGGGUGAUGGGGAGAGAUGUGCCCUUUGGCUGGGUCCCAGGAAUUAUUUUUGCAUUAGGAUUUAAAAGCAGGUAACCCUGAGAAAGCACCAGAACCUUUUUCUCCCAGAGUACUUUGUGUUAGAUUUUUGGAAAAAAAAAUGGAAAUGAAGACCUCCUUUGCAGAGUUUAUAUACAGGGCUUAAUACCCAGAUAAGCAUAACUAUAUACAAUUUUUAUACACAAAUUGUUUUUAAAUAUGUAUUCAUCAUCUAUUGCACUUACACAUUGUGCAAAAACUGCAUUCCAUGCCACGCCUGAAAUGUUCCAAAGCUCAGUUCUGUCAGUAAAUUGCAACCAAGAUUUCUACAAAAAAAGACACGAGUGAAAGAGAAUGAAGAAGAAAAAAGAAAUAUUUUCAGAAUACUCUUCUUUCAGGAGUGAUUCUAAUUUUUAUAGAUGAAACAAUACUUCCACAUUUUAUCUACACACUAAAGAAUUUACUGGUACUGGAAGAUUUGGUUUCUGAAUUAUACUUGCACAUUUACAUUAAAUUUCAUCAUAUUAUUUUCAUAUUACAUGACAUACUUGUACUGUGUGAUCUUUACUUCUCUGGAACAGAGUUUCACAACUUGAAUGCUAUUGACAUUUUGGACUCGAUAAUGCUUUUCUUGUGGAGGUUUGUCCUGUACAUAGUAAGUGGCUUAACAGCAGGCUGGGCUUAGCUCACGCAGUGUCAGCAGCACGUGCAGGGCUGCAAGCUGUUACCUGAAUGCAAAAUCAUGUUGGCUGAGAAGCCCUGCUCUGUGGGAUUCACUCUGACCUUUGUACCUGAUAGUAUUUUUGCUAGAGAGGAAAAGGACCUGUUACAGAAUUUUAGCAACCUUCUACUACAAAUGUAAAGUAGAAUCUUAACCCUAUUUCAAGGUGAACAGUGAAGAUUUAUUAAAAUUCCAAAUGUGAUGAAAUUGUAACUUACAUAGACUGCAAAAAAGGGAGUGACUCAAAUGCACGUCUUUCGAUAAACUCUAUUUUAUUGCAGGAUAAAUCUCUAGGAAAAGGAAAACAUUGCCUUGGUUAGCUAUUACCUAUAUAGUCAGUGGGGAUAAUAAAAUUUGCAUUUGAUAAUGUUGGAUAUGCAGUUUUUACCUAAACUGUAAAGCUUUGGACUUGUAUUUGACUCUCUGGAGAUACUACCCCUUCUUACAACCUGUCCUAAUAGUCUCACUGUUAGAACCUUCAUCAAUGACAUACACAACUAUAAAUCUUGAUAGAUUGUGGUGGUAAACUUUCCUGAGUGCAGAAUUGAUUAGAUGAACUUUCAUAGUCUUCAUCCAUUUGAAACAAGGAGCAAAGCUGUCAUCUCCAUUUUUAAUGUCUAAUAUUCCAAAGAAUACUCACAUUUUCACAUCUUUCCUGGUUUAGUCCUAGUUUUCUAACUUCAUUCAAUACCAGAAAAAAAGAUGCCCUUUUGAAUCAUUUGAAAUGAAAUUGGUUCUCUAAUUAAUUCAUUAUUUUGAACUGAUUCAGAAUUACACUUUCUGUCAUACUAAAGGAAAUUUAUUUGUUGCUUGUUGCUUGAUAGUCCAUGAAAGCCAUGAUAGAACCGUCAGAAAACAGCACGACACUGGAUUCCCACUCGAAAACACUCUUGGUGGUAGAGGACUCUUACUUCCACUGAUUACAAUUUGACCCUCACUUUUCACCUGCAACUCAUCUGUUGGUGGCUCCAUCUCUAGAAUCUCCUUCUCUCACCUGUCCCACCCACAGUCACCAGUGGGACUUGCCCUAAGUGACUCUCCGAGGCCAACAUCACUAGGUGCUUACAGAAGAGGCAGAUUCUCAGCCCUGUUCUAGACCGACUCAGGCAGUUACUGUGGGGGUAGGGUUCAGAGCCCCAGGUAACUGUGGUGCAAGCUCAAGUCUGUUUUAGAGCACUGCUGUGACAGCAUGGUUCCCCGUGGUGACUCUUGCUCAGCAUUCAAAGGCCUGGAAGACCUGGCUUCACCCUCCAGCUUUCCCUGCAUCUCUGUGCCUCAGAAGCUUCCAUGUUUUCCCUUUCUCCCACGAUAUUCUCUCCAAGACGUCUGAUGAUGCCCACUGCCCCCUUGGAAGUCCUGUUCAACUGGCAUUGCUCCCUGGUUCCAUCGUCCCUGACCCAGCCCAAAGUCUUCUCCCUCGUCUGGACUCUAUAUCCAUUUCUUUUGAUAUCGUUACUUGUGCCUUCCAUUUCCCCAGAGCAUAAACUUCUUGAAAGCAUGGAUUUGGCCUUGCUCAUCUACAUUGCCCACUAUGUUUAAAACUGACUCAUGGAAAUGACUCAGGUGUUUAUUAAAUGAAGGAAUGGUUGAGUAGGUAGAAGAAGGAAAAGUGAAUUUUUAAAAAGCAGUGUGGUUUUAUUAUUCCCUGGUCCCUCUGCAGCACUCUGUCAGCUACAUAGUGCUUGUUGGGUAUUGGUUUGAGCUUGUGUAUUUGUUUCCCCUGCAAGAUUGUGAGCUCUUGGGAAGGUGGGAUCCUGUCUUACUCAUUUAUGUGUCUCCAGUACUAGGCAAAGUGUUUGGCUUUCUCUUUCAGCUUUAAACAAUUGAUUGGCAUUUUGAAAAUGAAGUGAAUACAUAUGCUAGCAUAAACUAAUUAGGCUACAAAGGAUUUUCCAGCAGAAACAAUGAAGGGCCUAUUCUACCAGCAGUAGUCUCAUUUGUUUUUCUCCAAACCAUGUUUGCAAGGUUCCGGAGCCCAGAUGGGAAAGGUGCUCAAGAGGAACCAUGCAGAUGUGGUUGUCCCCAUAUGGCCUAGAAGUUCUGAUCAUCAUUCAAAGGAGUGUUAAGGGCCCGGAGUCUGAGCAGAGCCCUCCUGCUGCACUGGAGAAGAGUCCCGCUCCAUGGUGGGCUCCGGAGUUAUGGUCAGCGCCACAUCUGCAGGCUUGAUGGUAACAUUGGGCAGGUUAUAACGGUGAACUUGAUUCUGAUCUGGAGACCAGUCCAUCCCCUUCUGAAUCUGUGGAGUCUGAGCUAUGAUAGUCUCUUUAGGAGAUUCUAGCGCUUGAGCUCGGGGAUCUUGCUGUACUGGAGAUUUGACUUCCACAGGGAGUGCCGAAGGCUUCUCCGGGGCUUCCAGUUGGCUUCUAGAAGGUUCGAUCUCUGGAGACUCAGAAGGCUGAGCAGGCUGCUCCUGAUUGCUGGAGGAAUAUUCAGUGUUCACAGGCAGGCCGGAAGGCUGAGCUGGGGCCCCCUGCUGGGCUACAGAUGGGCUGACUUCCUCAGCAUACUCUGAGGGCUGAGCUGUGGCAUCGUUUUGGGUAGAGAAAGGUCCAGUCUCCUCAGGGAGAUCUGAGGUCUGAGCUAGACCCUCUUGAGUCCAAGAUUCCACCUUCCCAGGGAAUUCUGGUAUCUGCUCUGGGGCCUCUUGUUGGGCUGAGGGGAGUCCCACUCCCUCAGGAUGCCCCAGAGGCUGAGCUGGAGCCUGCUCCGUGCUUGGAGUAGACUGAACUUCCUCACCUGCCCCUGAGGCUUCUGUCAGCUCCGUGUCUGCAGGUUUCAGUGUGACGCUGGGGAAGUUUGCUUGGCGAGCUACAAUCUGAGGUGAGGAUGGAGUGUUAAGACUGUGAUACACUGAUGCCUGACCUACUACUGCAGUAGCAAAUGGAUUCUGAGCGGGGGCCUCCUGCUGCAACGGAGAUGCUUCUUCCUCGGGCUGCUGCAGGUCUGCACCUGGGCCCUCUUGCUGGGGUGAAGAAGGUUCAUCUGGUUCAACGGCCUGUGGAGGCGGAGCUUGUCCUUCUUGCUGUGCGGAGGAGGAUUGGAUGGGCUCCUGAGUCUCUGGAUUUUGAGUCUGGCCCUCCAGCAGGAAUUGAGAUGGUUCAGCCUGCUCAGAGGGCUGUGCAGGUUCCCCUGGGUUCUCCUGGGAUUCCGUAGGAAAACCACCAGGAUAGACCCCAUAGUCAGCCGGCAACACUUGAUUUUGACCCUGAAGCUUGGCCGCUUUGUCUGGAGUUCCAACACCAACCUUAGGAAGCCGUCGACGCCGAGCUAGAUCUUUCUUGGGGGUCAGGGGUGAAACAAUCAACUUGUUUCCUUGUGAAUCCUGACUGUCUAGAGGCAGAAUGAAUGCUUCCAAUGACUGGUGAAUCUUUCCUUCCAGUCGAGGAGGCAGAGCCAGGGGCUGAACCUGAUCCCCGUCUAGCACGGGAAUGGCCUCUGGUAGCCUUUGUUGUCGAGUCAGCCUAUUGAAAUACUGCUUUGGAACAGCAAGCUGUUCUGGCUCUGGGGGCACCCCUUGAGCUGAAUCCAUGUCCAGAAAAGGAAGCAAACUCACUGUGGACUCUCGAGGCGAGGCCAGCAUCUGGGAGAGAGCAGAAGACCCCAGGUAAUCAAAGCCGCCGGGGUCUGCCGGGGGUGUGAGUGCGUCAGGCGAUUCAGGUGGGAAGUUCGGGGAGUGGGAAGACCAGGGCUCAGAGAGCCAAGGGAGGCUGGAGGUCAGCUGGACCAGGUCCUGGGCCCACUCCAGAGGCUGAGUCGCCUGGACUGGCAGCCACAAAGGCUGCCAGUUGAAGAGGAGCCAUGGGACCCACAAGCACAAAGGGGUCAUUGACGGGGUUUUCAAGAUACAGUGACUCAGGCUGCUGGGGCACACGCAGUAUGCCCUGAGCAUGAGCUAAUGAAUUUUCAGGAUACAGUAACUCAGGCUGCUAGGGCACACACAGCAUGCCCUGAGCAUGAGCUAAUGAAUUAUGGCAGCCCCUUAGAGGGCAUGCCUUAGCAACUGUGCACCCCGCCCCACCCUUUAUGACACCUGACCUUUAUUUACACAUUCUUUAUUAGGCUCCGCCUCCAGGGCUCUUCUGCUUUGAGCCAGGGCAGCCUUUUUCUACAGCCACUGGGUCACAGACCCAGGUGGCUCCAGAACCCCAGCAGCCCACUAGUGUGGGGUGGGGCUGGGGAGGCGGACUUUCCCAAGGAAGUAACAGGGCUGGUUUUUUUUUGGGGGGGGGUCUUCAGAGUUAUCUGGUUCUGGUUGCUAGCUUGAAGUUUCCUCCUCCAAGUUCAAAUCCAAGAGCUGUCUUUCCUCCCAUCAGGGCCCUAACUGGCCCUAUUAUGCUUAUUUAUUAUGGAACGAGGCCAUUUCCUCUAAAGUCUCAGUAUCCUUGUUUUCAUAUUUGACAGUUCUGUUAGGUAGGGGCUACAAUGAAAUCAGUUCUUAGAAGAUUUCUGUAGAGACAUGGGCAAUUCAGUGUGGGUGUGAUGAUUAGAACAGAAAUCAAUAGCAGUUUACAUUGGCAUAGGAAAACUUCCUCCAUUCUACCCUGGCUCAGUACAGCUGCUAGCCUAGAAGUAACAAUGGCACUUUUUCGUGGUUUUACCCUGUGUGGCCCAUAGAGAAGAUACGUAAGAUGUUAAUGUCCGCAAAGCAUACUGCUGUGACCAGAACCCAGCUGACUUCCUUCAGAGCCCUUUUCAUAAUCUAUUUUAUUAUGCACUGUCUGACACAGCUUCUACUAUGGAAACUCCAAGAGAGGUCUCUAUCUUAUUCCCAGUACCUAGCACAUGGCUUGGCAUAUGGUAAUGAUUUUCAUAUUUUUAAAAUUUGAAAUGAUUAUUUGAGAGAGAGCUCUUAUGUACUGGAUUAUUUCCCAAAUACCUGCAAUGGCUGAGAUGGGGCCAGUCAAACCAGAAGUCAAGAACUCAAUCCAGCUUUGCCAUAUGGGUGGCAAGAACCCAACUACCCAAGCCGUUGCUGCUCUCAAAGUCUGCAUUAGAAGGAAGCUGGAGUUAGGAGCCAGAUCUGUAUGUUGAACCCCAGGUACUCUGAAUGUGGGAUACAAAUGUCUUUAUUGCCAAAUACUCCAGUAAUGGUGUUAAAAAUGGAAGUGAGGCUGGCGCCGUGGCUCAAUAGGCUAAUCCUCCAUCUGUGGUGCCGGCACAGCAGGUUCUAGUCCCGGUCAGGGCACCAGAUUCUGUCCCGGUUGCUCCUCUUCCAGUCCAGCUCUCUGCUGUUGCCCAGGCGUGCAGAGGAGGAUGGCCCAAGUCCUUGGGCCCUUCACCUGCAUGGGAGACCAGGAGAAGCACCUGGCUCCUGGCUUCGAUUCGGCGUGGUGUGCCAGCCGCAGCGCGCUGGCCGCAGCGGCCAUUGGAGGGUGAACCAAUGGAAAAAGGUGCUCUGAGGCCGGUGUACCAUGCUGAUCCGAUGGCAAGAGCCAGGUGCUUCUCCUGGUCUCCCAUGUGGGUGCAGGGCCCAAGCACUUGGGCCAUCCUCCACUGCACUCCUUGGCCACAGCAGAGAGCUGGAGUGGAAGAGGGGCAACCGGGACAGAAUCCAGCGCCCUGACCAGGACUAGAACCCGGUGUGCCGGCGCAGCAAGGCGGAGGAUUAGCCUAUUGAGCCGUGGCGCCAGCCUGGAACAUCUUUCUUUCUCUGUUUCUCUCUCACACUGUCCACUCUGCCUGUCAAAAAAAAAAAAAUGGAAGUGAAGGGGCUGGCACUGUGGCUUAGCAUGUAAAUUCGGUAAUUCUGUGCCUGCAGUGCUGGGAUCCUGUUCCAGUCCUACAUGUGACUACAAGGUGUACAGAUUUUAUUCUGGUGGGUAUGAGUCCAGACAGGUGGAAUGCAAGCAGUUUCUUAAGUAAUUGCACUGGGUAGAUUUCAGCGGGAUUGAGAAAUUUAGAACUAAUUGUUACAGACCUGGUGUUGCAGGGUACAGAUCUCCCAGGGUGGGGGGUUUUUUUUUUUUUAAAUGAGCUGAUGUUGGUGCUAACCCCCAGAAAUGAAAGGGCAUUGCUCUGGCUCAUACAGUGUGUGAGCGUAACUCUGGAGUAAUGCCACAAACUAUCACCAUUGCAGGAUGUAGAGAAUCUUUGCUUUGCCCUACAAGUUGUGCUGACUGAUUCUGGUAGGAGUGUUGCAGAGGCCCACUGUGAACUCUUUUUUGCAGACUCUGGAGCUCUGUAGCAGUGGGGGAUGGUAGGGGAAUAGUGUGGCUUCCCUUCUCCAAGCCUAGAAGUUGCUGAGACCCCAGUUAGCUCCCCAGGCUGAAUAUGGCAGUCCUGUCUUGUAUAGAUGACAUAAUAAUGACACGUGGUAGUGUAUGAAUCCUGGAGAAUGAAAAAAACAGUCAUUUAGAACAUCUAUUUUAGACCAUAAAUGAUAACAAAGCACUUUCUAUUUGUUCUCUUUCAAAUAAAAACAAGAAUAAAUAUAUAAAUAGUUUUAAAAUGUAGCUGGAAAAACCUUUCAAAUUUUGAGAUUUGAGUAGAUGUAAUGCUAUUUUUUUUUCUUCCCGAGAGGACACACAUAAAAUAUCCGAAACAGAAUUUUUGCUCCUGAGCUGAGAGUGGACUGAAGAGAAGUGGAGUUGGGGACACUGAAGAGAUGAGGGUGCAGGCUGCAGAUCAUUGAAGAAAUGCUGUCAAGAAGAACAAGAAGCAUAAGAGGAUCUUGGUACAAAUACCACACCUGGCCCCUGUAACACCAGUUCUCACUUAGCCCAUGUGCAUGAUGAAGACAUGAAGAGGUAAGUUAGGCCUAUGUGUGCUGAGGCCAUUGGUGAAUGGUGAUUGUGUUCAGGAGUAGAGUAUUAGGAAAAUAUUUUGUAUGGUUGGUGUGUGUGCAGUUAUGGCAUAGGGAAAGACUGCUUGUGUAGAUUCGUGAGAUUACAUUAUGUAUAUAUGUAUUCUGUUCACCUUUGUGUUUGGGGAGUUCAUUAGGAAUUGGAUCGGGUUCAUCAUUGGGUCUGGAGAAACAGCUAUGUGUUUUUGGAGACUACAUUGUGGACAGGACACCGAGCAUCAAAACUCUGACGAUGUGGUGUAGUUGAGUGGGUUGAGCAUGAAGACUGGAUUUUGAGGGUGUUUGGGUGAUAUGCAAGAUGGUGUUUUUUUAUUUCAUGUGCUUUCUAGUGGCUUCACAUGUUGUACACAUUUUGCUCAGAUGUCCAAGUUCUUUGAAGUGGGUGCAGGAUUGUGGUGGGAUGGAGAAUCGUCAGGGCUCUGGAAUUUGUGUGGAGAUUGUAGUGGUGUAUAUGUGUGACUGAGCAUAGAGGAAGCUAGUGCAUAUCGGCGUGCAUUUUGUGGUGUUUGAAUUCAGCUACUUUGGGAGCUGUAGAACAGUAGGAAAUGGUUUUAGCAGGAGAUAGUGGGAUUUGCUGUCAUGAAUGGAGUUGCUCCAUGGAGACUUGUAAGUCCUUCCAGACAAAAUCAACUUCUGUGCUUUUGCCUGUAAAAUAUCCAUAACUUACAAAGUUGUUCUGAAAGUCAGCUACUAUUAGUGAAAAACAUCUGUCAUUUUUCUUUAUACAAAGAGAGACAUUUGUAUACAGUGGUAUAAAAUGGAUAUAAAGUUGAAUGGGAUAAAAUGGAGUAGAGGG